GAUGGGCUCAAGCUAGAACUGCUAAUUCUACGGUCUGGGCCCAACCCCCCAGGCUCAUCACA
rnacentral:tRNA from 1 species